GCUGAGUGUGGUGGCGCAUGCUUGUAGUCCCAACUACUUGGGAGGCUGAGAUGGGAGGAUUGCUUGAGCCCAGGAGGUGGAGGCUGCAGUGAACCAUAAUUGCAGCCUGGGCAACAGAGCAAAACCCUAUCUCAA
rnacentral:SRP_RNA from 1 species